rnacentral:rRNA from 1 species
GCUCCUACCGAUACCGGAGGAUCCGGUGAACCUUUUGGUCCGUUCGCGGGAAGAUAAGUAAACCUUAUCACCUAGAGGAAGCAGAAGUCGUAACAAGGUUUCC